UCUCUCUCUCUCUCUGCGACACACACACACAGAAGAAGGGAGAAAGAAAUUUGGGGUGGCAUUUUAUUCCCCCUUCCUUAUUGGCAGUUUCUUUACGUAGUUUAAAGGGAGACGCUGAGUAGAUGUGAUAGAAUACGAUUCUUGUCAAUGGAGUUGCAACCUGGAGGGAAAGACCUAAACUGGCGUGGGAUUUUUGCGCAGUGGCGAAGCCAGGAUUUUUGACUUGGGGAGCCGGAUUAAUAGACAUUUUUUUAUCAGAACUUAUACUUAUUAUAUCAUAAUUUCUUUUUUGUUUUUCAAUACAUUACAUUUGUACACUAAAAUAAUUCUAGCCUAAUACAGUUAAAAGAUACCAAUCAUUUUGUUUUUUUCUUCAGGCAACUUCAACAGAUUGAGAAAUGAGAAUGUAAAAUAACCGGUUUUUUAUCAAAUCAAACCAAAAUUAUUAAAAUUAUAUGUAU